rnacentral:miRNA from 1 species
AACAAGUUUGGAACAAGCUGUUAACAACUUGUAACCACCUUGAUAUUAUCAGACUUGUUGCAAGGUUGUUCCAACAAGUCCGGACAGUCAUGAUAUAACAAUAUUGUUACAACCUUGUGUCGUCAACCUUGUAACAUUCUUGUCUUGUUAGAACAAACUUGUAACAAGUCUGAUAAUGCCAUCAAGCAUGUUACAAGUUGUCAACAGCUUGUUGUAAACUUGCU